GCAUGUCUGGAGGAGAACGAUGCACCGCUCGAAGUUGAGGGAGGCGGGUUUUGGGGCGGGUGAGCGUGGGGGUGAGGUGGUGACUGGUGAGGGACAAAGGGAGGAGGGGGUGGGGACCGUGGGGUGUCUUCUGGAGAGGGAUGGAGGGAGCCAGCCAGGCGCCAGCCAGGGAGGAAUUGGGUCAGGGACUCAGGAUGGAGGCUGAGGGGUUUAGUAUGGUGGUGUGGUGCCGUGGUGGGGGGUUUGGGCUGCAUCUGGCCAUUAAAGUAGAGGGGUGGAUUUUCCUGGGAAUUGGGAGUGAUAUUGUGUGGUUUAAUGAGCUCAACCUUUUUUUUUUUUGUGAUUGAUUAGCUUUUCUAGCAGCCAGGGGGUGAGGUCUGUGGCGAGCAUGAUAAAAGGAAGUGUUCUCUUCAACAAGGCCUUGGCUUGGGCUAUCUUCUAAUGUGAUCAGGUAUGUUGUAAAUUCUUUGGGGCUGGGCCUCUUCACAUACAUUGGAAAGCAUUUGUGGUGUAGAUGAAUGCACAUAGCUAGGUUGCUAAAGGGUGCUAAAAGGUUUAGAUUUCUAAACACUAAUAGCUAAGCAUAAAUGGGCCCUAUUCUCAUAGCUUUUCACUACUUGUAAGCACUGAUUUCGGAACAUCUAAUAGCUAUUAUUUUUAAAUGAAUUUUUAAAAUAUUUUGCAUUUAUUAAAAAAA
rnacentral:lncRNA from 1 species